UACGUAGGGGGCAAGCGUUGUCCGGAAUCAUUGGGCGUAAAGCGCGCGUAGGCGGCUUUGCAAGUCGAGUGUGAAAUCCCCAGGCCUAACCUGGGAACUGCAUUCGAGACUGCAUGGCUAGAGUAUCGGAGAGGGAAGUGGAAUUUCAGGUGUAGCGGUGAAAUGCGUAGAUAUCUGAAGGAACAUCAGUGGCGAAAGCGACUUCCUGGACGAAUACUGAACGCUCAUGUGCGAAAGCGUGGGGAGCAAACAGG
rnacentral:rRNA from 1 species